rnacentral:lncRNA from 1 species
CGAGCCUGAAGAGCUGAUAUUAGACCUCUAGGUGUACCCCUCUUGUCUCCUCUGAAGACGACCUCUGACCCGUUCUGAUCUCUGAACCUGACUACCUUGUCUCUGCAGUCCAAGGUAGCACCAUGGGUAGAUAGCCAAUCUAUCCCUAGAAUGACGUCAAAGUCUGUCAAAUCUAGAACCACAAGGUCAGCGAAGAGGCAUCUUCCCUCAACAAAAACUGGAC